GGGGAUGUGGCUCAGUGGUAGAGCACUUGCCUAGCUUGUGCAAGGGCCUGAGUUAAAUCCUCAGCACCACAA
rnacentral:tRNA from 1 species